GGGUAGGUGCCCGAGUGGUUAAAGGGGGCGGACUGUAAAUCCGCUGACUAUCGUCUACAGUGGUUCGAAACCACUCCUACCCA
rnacentral:tRNA from 1 species